GCAUAAGAAGCUCAGUUGGUAGAGCGUGAGACUUCAUCACAGGGUUGUGGGUUUCAGGCCCCAUGUUGCACA